rnacentral:rRNA from 1 species
GAUGAACGCUGGCGGCGUGCCUAAUACAUGCAAGUCGAGCGAACAGACGAGGAGCUUGCUCCUCUGACGUUAGCGGCGGACGGGUGAGUAACACGUGGAUAACCUACCUAUAAGACUGGGAUAACUUCGGGAAACCGGAGCUAAUACCGGAUAAUAUAUUGAACCGCAUGGUUCAAUAGUGAAAGACGGUUUUGCUGUCACUUAUAGAUGGAUCCGCGCCGCAUUAGCUAGUUGGUAAGGUAACGGCUUACCAAGGCAACGAUGCGUAGCCGACCUGAGAGGGUGAUGGCCCACACGGAAACUGAGACAGGGCCCAGACCCCUAGGGGGGGCAGCAGUGGGAACUCUCCCGAAAGGGGCGAAAGCCUGGGGGGGAAACGCCGCGUGGGUGAUGAGGUUUUUGGGAUGGAAACUCUCUGUUUUUAGGGAAGAACAAAUGUAAAUGAAACUAUACACGUUUGGACGGUCCCAACUCAGAAACCCACGGAGAACUACG